UACAGAGGGGGCAAGCGUUAUUCGGAAUUAUUGGGCGUAAAGGGCGCGUAGGCGGUUCUUCAAGUCUCUCGUGAAAUCCCUCGGCUUAACUGAGGACGUGCGGGAGAUACUGAAGGGCUUGAGUCCGGAAGAGGGUGGUGGAAUUCCCAGUGUAGAGGUGAAAUGCGCAGAUAUCGGGAGGAACACCAAUGGCGAAGGCAGCUCGCUGGGACGGUACUGACGCUGAGGCACGAAAGCGUGGGGAUCAAACAGG
rnacentral:rRNA from 1 species